rnacentral:rRNA from 1 species
CCUAUGGAGCUUUAAACUGCAAGUUAUUCGCCUAUCCUUUAUAGUUUCAGAAAUUUAAUAUCCAGGCCCGUUAACUACAAGUUUUAGGUUGGGGUGACCUAGGAGAAAACAAAUCCUCCUAGUUGGUACGGGUAAGCCCUGAAAAAAAAGCCACAACUUUAAUUACCAAUAAAUUGACAUCAAUUGACCCAGUCCGCUGAGCAACGAACCAAGUUACCCUAGGGAUAACAGCGCAAUCUACUUCAAGAGUCCCUAUCGACAAGUGGGUUUACGACCUCGAUGUUGGAUCAGGGUGUCCGAGUGGUGCAGCCGCUACUAAAGGUUCGUUUGUUCAACGAUUAAAACCCU